AGCGAACGCUGGCGGCAGGCCUAACACAUGCAAGUCGAACGAACCCUUCGGGGUUAGUGGCGGACGGGUGAGUAACACGUGGGAACGUGCCUUUAGGUUCGGAAUAACUCAGGGAAACUUGUGCUAAUACCGAAUGUGCCCUUCGGGGGAAGAUUUAUCGCCUUUAGAGCGGCCCGCGUCUGAUUAGCUGGUUGGUGAGGUAAUGGCUCACCAAGGCUACGAUCAGUAGCUGGUCUGAGAGGAUGACCAGCCACAUUGGGACUGAGACACGGCCCAAACUCCUACGGGAGGCAGCAGUGGGGAAUCUUGCGCAAUGGGCGAAAGCCUGACGCAGCCAUGCCGCGUGGAUGAUGAAGGUCUUAGGAUUGUAAAAUCCUUUCACCGGUGAAGAUAAUGACUGUAGCCGGAGAAGAAGCCCCGGCUAACUUCGUGCCAGCAGCCGCGGUAACAC
rnacentral:rRNA from 1 species